UAGGGUGGCAAAAUGAAUAUACUUUUAUAUUGUUUCCACCUGCAAAAUUGUGGCCUUAUGAUUUCAAAGCAAGUUUUACUGUUUCUUUUCAGGAAAAUACAUGUGGGACAGAUGUUUGGAAAACGUUUGCAAACCUGAGUGCUGGGAGGGGUCAGCCAGGGAAGUGCUACAGAAUCAGGGAAUCCUUUCCUCUCAGAAGCAUGGGGAUAUUUUUUCCUGUCUUGAAAACCAACCCUGCUGCUCAUUUCUUUUCACA
ensembl:lncRNA